CGUUUUAGAGGUUCUUUCAGAGGAUUUGCGGAAUUUAUGUGAAGAUGAGCAGGUGCAAUACAUACCACCCAAACUUGUAUGAAUUUGACCACAAGAAAAAGGGGUGCAUGAGUGUUCUUUUGUCAGACCAAAAAGAAGCUGUGGAAAAAUAUGUAGAAGCAAAUACCUUGGUAUGAAAACUGUUGGUGGUUUAAAGUGAAUGUUUCGUACGAAUUUCUGUUAUAGUAUCAAAGUAGCUUGUAACAUAUUGUUAGCAUAAGAAGUAAUAGUUUAGUCAAUCAAAUUUUCAACAUUUCUCUUCCUUUUUGGUAUGUGAUCAAGGUCCUUAAUAA